AGUGAACGCUGGCGGUAUGCCUAACACAUGCAAGUCGAACGGCAGCACAGUAAGCUCUUGCCCUUACGGGUGGCGACUGGCGGACGGGUGAGGCAUACAUCGGAAUCUACUUUUUCGUGGGGGAUAACGUAGGGCAACUUACGCUAAUACCUCAUACGACCUACGGCUGAAAUCAGUGGAUCUUCGCACCUUUCCUGACUGAAUGAGCCGAUGUCGGAUUAGCUAGUUUGCGUGGUAACGGCCCACCAAGGCGACGGUCCGUAGCCUGUCUGAGAGGGUGGUCCGCCACAAUGGAACUGAGACACGGGCCCGAAUCCUACGGGAAGCAGCAAGAGGGAAUCUUUGGCAAUGGGCGGAAGCCUGGCGCAAGAAAGCCGGGUGGGUUGAGAAGGGCCUUCGGGUGUAAAAGCCUUUUUGUAGGGAAGAAAAAGCGUGAGAUUAACUCCGCGCUUUUUGACGGGAACCAAACAAAAAGGCACGGCUAAAUUCGUU
rnacentral:rRNA from 1 species